rnacentral:rRNA from 1 species
GAUGAACGCCGGCGGUGUGCCUAAUACAUGCAAGUCGUACGCACUGGCCCAACUGAUUGAUGGUGCUUGCACCUGAUUGAUGAUGGAUCACCAGUGAGUGGCGGACGGGUGAGUAACACGUAGGUAACCUGCCCCGGAGCGGGGGAUAACAUUUGGAAACAGAUGCUAAUACCGCAUAACAAUAAAAGCCGCAUGGCUUUUAUUUGAAAGAUGGCUUUGGCUAUCACUCUGGGAUGGACCUGCGGUGCAUUAGCUAGUUGGUAAGGUAACGGCUUACCAAGGCAACGAUCAGUAGCCGAACUGAGAGGUUGAACGGCCACAUUGGGACUGAGAUACGGCCCAG